UACGAAGGGGGCGAGCGUUAUUCGGAAUCACUGGGCGUAAAGCGUGCGUAGGCCGUCUAGCAAGUUGGAAGUGAAAGCCCAGGGCUCAACCCUGGAAUGGCGCCCGAAACUGGAGGGCUUGGAGUGCGGGAGAGGGAAGCGGAAUUCCUGGAUGUAGAGGUGAAAUUCGUAGAUAUCAGGAGGAACACCGGUGGCGAAAGCGGCUACCUGGCCCGACACUGACGCUCAUGUACGAAAGCGUGGGGAGC
rnacentral:rRNA from 1 species